rnacentral:rRNA from 1 species
CAGUCGCCGCGGUAAUACGAAGGGGGCUAGCGUUGCUCGGAAUGACUGGGCGUAAAGGGCGCGUAGGCGGCGAUCAAAGUCAGGCGUGAAAUUCCUGGGCUCAACCUGGGGGCUGCGCUUGAUACUUGGUUGCUUGAGUGGGGAAGAGGGUCGUGGAAUUCCCAGUGUAGAGGUGAAAUUCGUAGAUAUUGGGAAGAACACCGGUGGCGAAGGCGGCGACCUGGUCCUUGACUGACGCUGAGGCGCGAAAGCGUGGGGAGCAAACAGGAUUAGAUACCCAGUAGUCCCUGUCUCUUAUACC